GUGAUGCCCAGGAGAGGGAAUGGAAACCUGGAGCUGGGAGCGAGGUUGGAGCUGUAAGAUCCAAGACCCAGGGAGACAAGAGGACCCUGGGGACAAAUAGGAACAGCUGAGCAAGGGAUGCUGGAAUCGACCUUGAUCUCUAGUUCGACUCCCGUGCAACGUGUUGAGGAGGAGCCACCUCCUCCAAGCACCUAAAGCCGACCCAGAAACGCCUCCCAAUCCCUCCACACCGCGGCUCCCGGGAUCCGAAGCUGGGGAGCUGCUUCUGUCCAAUCAGGCUUUGUAUCCCGGGACGCUUCCGGUUAUGGCGUCAUUAUGCAGCCAGGUAUAUUUAUCCUCUGGCACGGGAACCUUCAGCGCAUUAAACUACAAACACAAGGACAGUGAGUCGUCACCAAUACACCCAGGAGCUCAAAGGGCUGGAAGCUACGAAUCCUUAAAGGUCAUACUGAAAGACGUUCUGUGUCCCAAGCGGAAACGAAUACGCAUCUCAAUACUGGGUAGAAAGAAUAUUAGACUGGGAACAGGAGCUCAACGGUCUUCUCAGCCCUAUCGCUAACUGGGAACCCUAGACAAUGCUUUAUGAUGAUGAGCUUCAUUUUCUUCAUCUGAAAAGGACAGCUGGA
rnacentral:sRNA from 1 species